rnacentral:rRNA from 1 species
CCGUAACUAUAACGGUCCUAAGGUAGCGAAAUUCCUUGUCGGGUAAGUUCCGACCCGCACGAAAGGCGUAAUGAUUUGGGCACUGUCUCAACAAUGCACCCGGUGAAAUUGAAAUACCAGUGAAGAUGCUGGUUACCUGCGCCAGGACGGAAAGACCCCAUGGAGCUUUACUCCAGCUUGAUACUGGGAUUCGGUAUUGCAUGUACAGGAUAGGUGGGAGGCUUUGAAGCGGUGACGCCAGUUGCCGUGGAGCUGCUGUUGGGAUACCACCCUUGCAGUACUGGGUUUCUAACCAGCAGCCGUGAUCCGGCUGGGGGACAAUGUCAGGUGGGGAGUUUGACUGGGGCGGUCGCCUCCGAAAGGGUAUCGGAGGCGCUCAAAGGUUCCCUCAGAAUGGUUGGAAACCAUUCGAAGAGUGCAAAGGCAGAAGGGAGCUUGACUGCGACACCGACGGGUGGAGCAGGUACGAAAGUAGGACUUAGUGAUCCGGUGGUAUAAAGUGGGAUUGCCAUCGCUCAACGGAUAAAAGCUACCCUGGGGAUAACAGGCUUAUCACUCCCAAGAGUUCACAUCGACGGAGUGGUUUGGCACCUCGAUGUCGGCUCAUCGCAUCCUGGGGCUGAAGUAGGUCCCAAGGGUUGGGCUGUUCGCCCAUUAAAGCGGUACGCGAGCUGGGUUCAGAACGUCGUGAGACAGUUCGGUCCCUAUCCGGCGUGGGCGUAGGAUAUUUGAGAGGAGCUGUCCUUAGUACGAGAGGACCGGGAUGGACACACCGCUGGUGUACCAGUUGUUCUGCCAAGAGCAUCGCUGGGUAGCUAUGUGUGGACGGGAUAAACGCUGAAAGCAUCUAAGCGUGAAGCCGGCCUUAAGAUAAGAUAUCCCACUGAGUCAAUCAGGUAAGACCCCUUGAAGACUACAAGGUUGAUAGGCACACAGUGUAAGCGGAGUGAUCCGUUCAGCUAGCGUGUACUAAUAGGUCGAGGGCUUGACCAC